rnacentral:rRNA from 1 species
UUUAAAGUCUAGCCUGCCCAAUGAGGAGUUAAAUGGCCGCGGUAAUUUGACCGUGCAAAGGUAGCAUAAUCAUUAGUUUUUUAAUUGAAAGCUGGAAUGAACGGCUGGACGAGAAAAUAACUGUCUCAAUUUAAUUGAAUGUAGAAUUUUAUUUAUAAGUAAAAAAGCUUAUAUGAAUUUAAAAGACGAGAAGACCCUAUAGAGUUUUAUAAUUUUUUAUAUUGAAUAGGGUUAGUAUUUUUAUAUUUUUGAUAUAAAAACUUAUUUUGCUGGGGCAGCGGAAAAAUUAGAUAAACUUUUUUUAUAUUUUUACAUUGAUUUAUGGUUUAAUGAUCCAUUUUUUAUGAUUACAAGAUUAAAUUACCUUAGGGAUAACAGCGUAAUUUUUUUUUAGAGUUCUUAUCGAAAAAAGAGUUUGCGACCUCGAUGUUGGAUUAAAAUUAACUUUUGGUGUAGGGGCUAAAAGGUUAGGUCUGUUCGACCUUUAAAAUUUUACAUGAUCUGAGUUUAAACCGGCGUGAGCCAGGUUGGUUUCUAUCUUUAAAAACAUUUGGAUACCUUAGUACGAAAGGAUCAGGUAUUUUUAAAAUUUAAUAUAUUUUGAAUAUGAAUAA